rnacentral:rRNA from 1 species
CAUAAUCNUUAGUUUUUUAAUUGAGAACUUGUAUGAAUGGUUGAAUGAGAAAUAGACUUUUUUAAUAGAAAAAUUGAAUUUUACAUUUUAAUUAAAAGGUUAAAAUAUUUUUAAAAGACGAGAAGACCCUAUAGAGUUUUAUAAUUUAUAUUUAAUACAAAAAAAAAUUAAUAAAUAUUUUUAUUUAAAUAAUUAUUUUGUUGGGGCGACGAUAAAAUUUAAUAAACUUUUAUUUUUUUUUACAUUAAUAUAUGGGGGGCUGAUCCGCUAUUGGCGAUUAAAAAUUUAAAUUACCUUAGGGAUAACAGCGUAAUUUUUUUUUUAAGUUCAUAUUAAUAAAAAAUUUUGCGAC